rnacentral:lncRNA from 1 species
CUGUAAUUAAAUUAUUUAAGUUAAACCUCCCCCCCAAGCUAAUUGUGGACAAAAUUGGGGGGGAUUAACAUGAUUUUUAGCAUUUUAUGCCACUUUGCGACUUAUUUAUUUAAUUUAUUCAGCAUCCAUGUUAAAGGUGCGUUUGUAUAGUUUAUAUUUUUAUUUACAACUGAAGCACUACAUUAUUUGCUGAUUAGAACAACAGAGCGAAAUUUGUGGACAAGCAUUUAUGAUGACUCUCGAGUUAUACAGUUUUAGGAAAGGAUGACACUGCUGUAUUUAUUCACCAAAGAUUUGCAAGAAACUUUAUAGCUUUAAGGCUUCUAUCACAAGCUGGAAAAAUAAUAAAAAAUAAAUAAAAUAAUUUAAAAAAAAAAGACAUUCCAAACACAAAAACAAGCGAGAGAGAAAACCCUUAACCAGCUGCUUCCAAGAAAGAACUAUGUGUGUAAUGGAAAAAAAAAUAAAAUAAAAAAAGAAAUAAAAAAGAAAACAAAAACAUUUCUAUUCCAAGUGAGAACCAUAAAUAGGCUACCUCACUGACUUUUUUCCUUUUGUAAUUUUAAUCGUGUUGAUGAUACCAAAGAUACCAAAGAUUUGUUUCAUGUGCGGUCUGUUCCUUGCAUCUGCUCAUUUCCAACUUCUAUUCUUAUUUGGUUGAAGAAAGGCAUACAAAGUUAAAUUGAAGGUCCUUCUUUAACUAAAAUAAUCUUACUCUCUUACAUAUAUACAGCUGAAGCUCAGAUACCCCAAAGAAAAGUCUGUGUGGAAUUUGCCUAUUGAAAUCAGGGAAGUCUUUGGUACUCAUAACUGCAGAGCUUAAGGUGGCAACGCAGGGUGUUGCUAGUUCAUGUGACAAUGGAUCAGGAAAAUAGUUACAUUGAUCAGACAUAUAAUAGAAUUUUCAAUGGACUUUCAUAUAAUUGUUGAUAAUAGAUGUUUAAAGAUUAAAGGUACAAAUUUCAGAAAAGGCUUACAGUUCCUGAAAGGAUUAAUGACCAUCGCAGUAGAUAAACACUCUCUCAAAAUUGAGGCCAAGUGCAGAUGGUGAUUAAUUCAAAGUUUAGUGAAUUAUAAUUGCAGUUUAAUGCAGAAACCCAAAACAAGAGCACACACUUGAAAUAGCAGUAGCAUGCUUCUGGUUAGACAGAUUGUAGCAUGCAGGCCAUCACAGCUAAGGUAUGAGUAUGUGUUAUAUACACACACACACAGCACUUGGUAUCAAAGUGACUAACAACACCUCGCAGUGAGUAACACUCCUCGCACCGGUAUGGACGAACUGGGCAAUUCAUUGCUGAAAAUUAAAACACUCCAGCUGGUGAGGGACAAAUCAAUCAUUGCCGUCACCUGAAGGUUGUCAUGAGUUGAAGUCCCAGGUGUUGGAUACCGUGUUACUCACAGCUGCCUUAAGUAAACAGGGUAUACCAGUACCAAUAACCCUGACGGAAUAGCUUCCUCCACACUCACUGUGUUUCCUCUCCGCAUCACACUUUGCUUGCAGAGUAUGACGUAACUAUGGGACAAGUGCCUUGCUUGAACCAAAGCAACUGUUAAGUUGGUCUAGCCUGCCCUUCUCUCUAUUUUGUUUCCCCAUGGGAAUAUGUCUGUAGAGCUAGAACACCCAUAACUCAUUGGUGCACAUAACAUCAGUCUAGACUCGAGCUUUAAACUAUAUCUUGCUUUUCAAAAAAAACUAUGUACACUAAUACCAAAGUUCCUCCUAACUAUCCUAUGUCCCAAGUUCUGCGCUUUCUGUAGAUAGAUAUAUAUAUAUAUAAAUAUAAAUAUUUUUCUUUCUUACUCUCUUUGUAUCUUCACGGUUCCAAAGCUUUAAUAUGGAAUUAGGCAGCAUGGCAACGCAGACCGCACAAUUCCUUACCGAUUUUUCUCAGAUAUACCUCAUAGAUAAUAGUGUUUAGAGUAAUGUUAUUAUAGCGUAUGUAAUAUAUUGCUCACUGUUUCUUUUAGUAACUGUGAUUUAAAGAAAAAAAAGCUUUAUAUGUUCUAGGUUGUGAUUUUGUAAUAGUCAAGAAGGUGCGCUUUAUGAUGAAACAAUGUCGGUCUUUUUUGUUUAUUUUUGGAUUUUAUUUAUUACGGAUCGGGGGAAAGUUGUAGAAUGAGGCCCAACGUUUACAGUUUUCAUAUUUUGUUUUUAUUUUCUUGCUGAAGAAACAACCAAUAUUAACGUCUUUAUGGUCAGAGGGACUUUGCUGAGCAAAGCGUUUUAUGAGCUCUGGCUUGAAAGAGAUUAAUUUGUUUUGUUGAAUAAAAAGAAAAUAAAUACUGUUUUCCACAUUUGUGCUACCGUUUUAAAAAUUGUAAUGUCUGUGCUUUUGUUAUUUGUAACUACCAGUCAAUGCAUGAGAAAAAGACAAUUCAACAUUAGUUACAAUGUACUGCAUCGUGGUUCUUAAUUGCAACAUUCUCUCCUACUCCAAACAAAUUGUUUUAUGUCUAUAUUUUUCAGUUAUUUUAACGUUCUGCACAGGGAGCUACUAUUUUGUUACAAAAUGGUGCGACUACUGUACAGUAUAUAAAAAAACUGUAAACACAUGCACAAUGUACACUUAUGGAGUUGAAAUACAAACAAGAUUUAUCAGGUAUGCAAAGUAUUGCAUUGUUAUGGAAGAUCAAAUUAAAAGUGCAAACAUGUAUUGUUAUGUCGAUCCUAGUAGUAGGUAGCCUGCAGCUCUCAGGCUGUUGAUGGAAUAUAAAUCCAAUGAUUCUUUGCAGCGCUGUAGACUGGCAUAGGAUUAUGGGAGUUGUACUUUAUCGAUAGCUGGAAAAUAACAGGCUGUCUUUUUCUGGCCUAGGUCCUCAUAAUUAAUACAGUUUAGUAUUCGUACACUCAUAUUAAUAAUGGAGCAGAUAUACAAAGCUGGGGUCUAUCAGUCCGGGCAUUCAAAGACAUUUUCUGCUUUGUUUUUAUCCCGUAUAUAUAUGUUUUUCACACACUGAACAGCAUGAUUUAGUUAAAAAAACCAAAAACAAAUACCAGAUGUACAGGUUAGUGACUGUAGUGUCUAGCUUCCAGCUGAGUAUUGCACAAACUUGGACCUUAAGCAGAUAACACCUGUACCUUGAUCUGUAAACAGGAAACAUAAUAUGGUAUGAUUUAUAUGUUUUAACUUCUCCCAUCAAGGAGUGCAUGGACCAGUAAUGUCUCAAACUUUCUUCUCCCGCUGGUGAAGUUCUAUAUUAGAAAUCUCAGCCAGUAUUGAAUGACAAAUUCACGUCCUUAGCACACAGCAUUCUACUUGAUGCAUGCGAAAUUUCAGAAAUUGCAUUUCUUUGCGAUUUUUUUCUGUUUGCCAUACCAUACAAUAAGCAUUGAAUAUGUGCAAAAACAUGAUCUCAAAACAGUUCAGAGAAUCUUUAUAACAACCACACCCGGCAGUUUGCAGAAGAACAAAAUGGUGUGCAGUAGAAAGGUCAGGAUGUGGCUGUUAUGAAGUUUGCCUUCUUGAUUGUUUUAGUGCUAGAUAACACUCAAAAGUGAUUAGAGGCAGCAUUAAUAAGGCAUAGGCUAUCACUGGAUGAGAAUGUUGGGAAUUGGAAAAAACAUUAACUGCCACCCUAGCUGAUCUAACACUGGAAUUGUUUGCCACAUUGUACAUCUCUGUUCCUGUGUGCUCAUCAAAUAUUAACUCUCUUCAGUACUUAUGUUGGGUUGUACAAUGUCACGUGUUCCCCAGAUAUUUACAUUCUGUGGAUUUUGUUAUAUGAAGACUGCGGGGUUGGAAUAACACCCUUUGGUUAAAUUUACAGCUAUAAGCACCAAAGAUGCAUGAGUCAAAAAUGUUUAAACAAGUAAUGUACACACUAUCCAAUAUCACAUUGUAUUGAUUUCUGUUUUGUUGUAUUAAGUCAUCAUGUGGCAUUCAAAGAAUCAUGUCUUUGUUUAUGUUUUUCUGUACUAUGUAUGUCUAUUUUCUGCCAAAGAAUACCAAAGGUUUCAUAAUAUUCAAAUUUACUACAAAGUGUUGGAUGUGAGCAGCAGUUUAUAAUUCAAAACAUAUUCUGUGUUCUUCCACUAAAACGUGUUACCAUUUGCAGUUCGGAAUCUUUUGAAUUUAUGAUGCCAUGUAUAUAAGUGUAUGGAUUUAAAAUAAGCCACCAAAUGAAGUUUGCCAAAGAAAACAGUGCUUUGUGGUAUUUCAGUUCAUAAUAUAUGUAAAAACAAAUAUGCUGUGUUGUUUUCUAAGUUUGUAUUUUUUUUGUUGUUUUUUGUUCUUGUUUUAUCUGAUUCAGUAUUCAAACAAACAAAACACAUGCAAUGUGGGUGAUCUUACAUAUAAUGUUCUUCCUCUGUUUUGCCAAAGAGUACAGCAUUGUUUAUUUGCCAAAAAUCUGAAUUUGUUUUCUCAUGUUUUCUCAUGUUUAAGUGUUCUACAAAAUUUUAACGUUGCUUUCUACUUGCCUAUUUUUUUUUUACUUUUUUGUUUGUUUGAAUGAUGUUUUUUAUCCAUCAUAUGUUAAGUUUACCUUUCAUUUCUCAAAGUGCAUUUCUAAUUUAAUUUGCCAAAUCUAUAACACAUGCUUCCAGGCUUUUAUUUUCUUUUGCCAAAAAAUCCCCAUCCCCUAACCCCUGGUCAACAAAUCAGGCAGUAAACAAAAAGUGUCAGACUAACCUCCUUGCAAGGUAACCUUAAAUGGAGUAUACUUGUAAUUGAAGGAAGUUUUAAUAUUGCUAGAUAGCAAAUUUAAAAGAAAUAUAUUUUUAAAUUCAAAUUCACAGGAUUAGUAACUUAUUCCUUUAAAAAAACAUGUUGCAUAUAAACGAGUUGGCAAAACCACAGAAAUUAACACAGAACCAAUUAGCAAGGCCUAUGUGGUAUGAUAAAUAGAAAUUGACUAUAAACAAAUAUAACGUAAUAUGCACAACUAACUAAAAACUUCAUGGACUUUAUUUAUACGAUUUACACACUAUUACAUGUAUACCUGGAAUUAAAUAACAGACUACCAAACUCGUUACAACACUUGACUCAAAAAAUACAACUAAUUAUCACUAUAUGUCACAGUUUUGUGGUGUAGGUGAUAAGAUUUGAUACCUUGAUACAUCACACAUUUAUAUACAUACACAAUCUUCUACUAAUAUUAACUUUAUUCUUUUCAGAUAUAUGUACAGUAUGUAUAUAGGACAGGGUAGGAGAUGUGCUAAGAUUUGAUACAUUUUAUUGCAUCCACUCCAGCAAGAACAAUUCCUCCAGGGUUCUGCCUGAUUUUAUACAGAACUGAAAAGGCUUUCUCAUAUCACACUUUUAUAGAUCACUCCCUUCACUAAACUGCUAUAGCUAUAAACAUUAAGUCUUUGAGUGAAAGAGAGGUGACCAAACGCAAUUCUCACCACUCUUGCUCUCAUCAGGUUGAAACAAAUUUACCUACUAAACUUUAUUUUAUUUUUCCUAUCCUUCUAAUAUGUUUACAUCUGCAUACUAUGUGUACGUUUUUUAUGUUUUGUUUUGUUUUUGUUUGUUUUUUUACACUUAAUUUAACCACCUGUUACUCCUUCUGUUACUGUGGUCCUUAUUUCUGCUGCUGUUUCGACUAAAGGUGAACAUGCUGGUAAAUAAUGAUGCGUUCGGGCACCUUAAACCCAUCGCUAAAUUCCCAGUUCUCCCCUGAUUCUGUUUAGUGUUGAGAGGCUAUUUUGUAUUUGAUGUUUUUUCAACAUAAUGUCAUCAUUGUUAAACACUAAUGUUUUGUCUUCAAUGUCGCUUUAACUGGUUUCUUUUUAUUUAAUUCCUAUCAUUAAAUGAUAGUGCUGUAAAUUCUGCAAUUAAUGUCAAAUAAACAGCUUUAAUUCACUGAUUGAAUGCCUUGUGUUCUUAUAAAUCUGUGGUCAACUUAUGUUUGGUAUUGUGUAUACAUUUAUAACCCCUUGACAAACGGUAUCCAC